rnacentral:tRNA from 1 species
GCCGGACUAGCUCAGUCGGUAGAGCAGCUGAUUUGUAAUCAGCAGGCAGUCGGUUCGAAUCCGACGUCCGGCACCA